rnacentral:ncRNA from 1 species
UCUAUGGGGGAGGAAGCGGAGUAGCAAAACCGACGAGCCUACGAACAGAAACUGGAUAUAAGGCCAAACGGUGGGUAAGGUUGCAAGAGAAACCAAAGCCCGAAAGGUAGACGUAAAACCGAAACGGUAAAUCCAGAGGUUGUGCGGUGAAAGAAUU